GAGUUUGGGGGAUUCACUAGCCAUGCGAGUCAGGUGUCUUCGGACGCCGGCAUACGGCUCAGUAACACGUAGGUAACCUACCCUCAGGACUGAGAUAACCCCAGGAAACUGGGGCUAAUAUUAGAUAGAUAAAAGACACUGGAAUGUUCUUUUGUCCAAAGCUUUUGCGCCUGAGGAUGGGCCUGCGUCCGAUUAGGUCGUUGGUGGGGUAAUGGCCCACCAAGCCUACGAUCGGUACGGGCAGUGGGAGCUGAAGCCCGGAGUUGGGGACUGAGACAAGGCCCCAGGCCCUACGGGGCGCAGCAGGCGCGAAACCUCUGCAAUGCGGGAAACCGUGACAGGGGGAUCCCAAGUGCUCAUGCAUUGCAUGGGCUGUUCUUUGGUCUAAGUAACCAGAGGAGUAAGGGCUGGGCAAGACCGGUGCCAGCCGCCGCGGUAAUACCGGCAGCUCAAGUGGUAGCCGCGAUUAUUGGGCCUAAAACGUUCGUAGCCGGAUAAGUAAGUCUUUGGUUAAAUCCUGCGACUUAACCGUGGGAAAUCUAGAGAUACUGCUUGUCUUGAGACCGGGAGAGGUUGGAGGUACUCCUAGGGUAGGGGUGAAAUCCUGUAAUCCUAGGGGGACCACCUGUGGCGAAGGCGUCCAACUGGAACGGGUCUGACGGUGAGGGACGAAACCUAGGGGAGCGAGCCGGAUUAGAUACCCGGGUAGUCCUAGGCGUAAAUGAUGCGAGUUAAGUGUGGGGGCAUCUACGAGAUGGCCCUGUGCUGUAGGGUAGCCGUUAAACUCGCUGCCUGGGGAGUACGGUCGCAAGGCUGAAACUUAAAGGAAUUGGCGGGGGAGCACCACAAGAGGUGGAGGCUGCGGUUCAAUUGGAUUCAACGCCGGG
rnacentral:rRNA from 1 species